AUUGAACGCUGGCGGCAUGCCUUACACAUGCAAGUCGAACGGCAGCACGGGAGCAAUCCUGGUGGCGAGUGGCGAACGGGUGAGUAAUGUAUCGGAACGUGCCCAGUCGUGGGGGAUAACGUAGCGAAAGCUACGCUAAUACCGCAUACGAUCUGUGGAUGAAAGCGGGGGACCGUAAGGCCUCGCGCGAUUGGAGCGGCCGAUAUCAGAUUAGGUAGUUGGUGGGGUAAAGGCCUACCGAGCCGACGAUCUGUAGCUGGUCUGAGAGGACGACCAGCCACACUGGGACUGAGACACGGCCCAGACUCCUACGGGAGGCAGCAGUGGGGAAUUUUGGACAAUGGGCGCAAGCCUGAUCCAGCAAUGCCGCGUGCAGGACGAAGGCCUUCGGGUUGUAAACUGCUUUUGUACGGAGCGAAAAGGCUCUCUCUAAUACAGGGGGCUCAUGACGGUACCGUAAGAAUAAGCACCGGCUAACUACGUGCCAGCAGCCGCCGUAACAC
rnacentral:rRNA from 1 species